rnacentral:lncRNA from 1 species
UUCCAGGGUUUCGGUUACCCAUGGACAGUGAUGGUCUGGACCGAUGGUCUUCCUCCAGACAGAUUGUCAGAAGGUCAUUAGUAGAAUAACAAGACAUCUCAGUGCCGACAUCAUUGUGUCAUCGCAUUGGCAUCAUAUUGUCUCACAUUAUCACAAGAAAGAUGCUGAAGCAAAUGUUAUUGUCACCUUUGCAGAUAAGAAGUCCAGAGUCCAGAGAGGUAUGUAACUUGCUCAAGACCACGCAGCUAGAAUAGUCGAAUGCUUUCUCAUUCUAAACCUCAUGCUCUUUCCACUCAUGUGCUCCUACCUGAAAUCAGAUGUUUAAACGCAUUCAGAAAAACAAGCAAGCGAGGGGCCUGAAAAUGUUCAACAGUAGCAACUAUCAAGUAUUAGAGAUGCCCUAGCCAGAUUGCACUGCACGUUAGGAACAUAAAAACAUUCAUUUCACACUCUCGAUUAUACUUUUUGGUGUUUAUAAAAAAUUCCUCCCUUGCCACAGGCUGGCUCUUCUGGGCACUAGCUUACCUGAAAGGGGGUAUAGCACAGUGGAUAAGGGGGCAGGCUCUGAAGCCCACCUGCCUGAAUGGGAAUCCCGGCUUUGCCAUUUGCCACAUUGUAACCUCAGAACAUUACUCCAACGCUCGGCGCCCUCAGGUUCCUGUGGGUAAAAAACAGGGAGGUGGUGGUGAUAA